AUUGAACGCUGGCGGCAGGCCUAACACAUGCAAGUCGAGCGGAGCGGCGGACGGGUGAGUAAUGCCUAGGAAUCUGCCUGGUAGUGGGGGAUAACGUCCAGAAACGGGCGAUAAUACCGAAUACUAUCAGAUGAGCCUAGGUCGGAUUAGCUAGUUGGGGGGGUAAAGGCCUACCAAGGCGACGAUCCGUAACGGGUCUGAGCGGAUGAUCAUUCAAACUGGAACUGAGACACGGUCCAGACGCCUACGGUAGGCAGCAGUGGGGAAUAUUGGACAAUGUGCGAAAGCCGGAUCCAGCCAUUCCGCGUUGGUGAAGAAGUUCUUCGGAUUGUAAAGCACUUUAAGUUGGGAGGCGUUACCAACAGAAUAAGCACCGGCUAACUUCGUGCCAGCAGCCGCGGUAAUAC
rnacentral:rRNA from 1 species